rnacentral:rRNA from 2 species
CGGUGCGAUCAUACCAGCACUAAUGUACCAGAUCCCAUCAGAAUUUCGCAGUUAAACAUGUUUGGGCGAGAGUUGUAUUAGGAUGGGUGACCUCCUAGAAAGUCAUGAAAAAUCACAAAAA